rnacentral:rRNA from 1 species
AUUGAACGCUGGCGGCAUGCCUCACACAUGCAAGUCGAACGGCAGCACGGGAGCAAUCCUGGUGGCGAGUGGCGAACGGGUGAGUAAUAUAUCGGAACGUGCCCAGUCGUGGGGGAUAACGUAGCGAAAGCUACGCUAAUACCGCAUACGAUCUAUGGAUGAAAGCGGGGGAUCGCAAGACCUCGCGCGAUUGGAGCGGCCGAUAUCAGAUUAGGUAGUUGGUGAGGUAAAGGCUCACCAAGCCGACGAUCUGUAGCUGGUCUGAGAGGACGACCAGCCACACUGGGACUGAGACACGGCCCAGACUCCUACGGGAGGCAGCAGUGGGGAAUAUUGGACAAUGGGCGAAAGGACCUGAUCCAGCAAUGCCGCGUGAGUGAUGAAGG